GCCAGAGUGGAAUAGUGGUUUGAAGGUUGGACUAUGACUGUAGAGAUAAGGGUUCAAAUCCCUGCUCAGUCA